GACGAACGCUGGCGGCGUGCCUAAUACAUGCAAGUCGAACGCUUUUUCUUUCACCGGAGCUUGCUCCACCGAAAGAAAAAGAGUGGCGAACGGGUGAGUAACACGUGGGUAACCUGCCCAUCAGAAGGGGAUAACACUUGGAAACAGGUGCUAAUACCGUUUAACACUAUUUUCCGCAUGGAAGAAAGUUGAAAGGCGCUUUUGCGUCACUGAUGGAUGGACCCGCGGUGCAUUAGCCAGUUGGUGAGGUAACGGCUCACAAAGGCAACGAUGCAUAGCCGACCUGAGAGGGUGAUCGGCCACACUGGGACUGAGACACGGCCCAGACUCCUACGGGAGGUAGCAGUAGGGAAUCUUCGGCAAUGGACGAAAGUCUGACCGAGCAACGCCGCGUGAGUGAAGAAGGUUUUCGGAUCGUAAAACUCUGUUGUUAGAGAAGAACAAGGAUGAGAGUAAAACGUUCAUCCCUUGACGGUAUCUAACCAGAAAGCCACGGCUAACUACGUGCCAGCCGCCGCUGUAA
rnacentral:rRNA from 1 species